rnacentral:rRNA from 1 species
UAGAGUUUGAUCCUGGCUCAGAACGAACGCUGGCGGCGUGCUUAACACAUGCAAGUCUAACGAGAAAGUUUCCUUCGGGGAAUGAGUAAAGUGGCGCACGGGUGAGUAACACGUGGGUAACCUACCCUUCAGCUUGGGAUAACACUUCGAAAGGGGUGCUAAUACCGGAUACGUUCAAUUUGGCUUCGGCCUUUUUGGAGAAAGAUGGCCUCUAUACUAUGCUGUCACUGAUGGAUGGGCCCGCGGACCAUUAGCUUGUUGGUAGGGUAACGGCCUACCAAGGCAACGAUGGUUAGCUGGUCUGAGAGGAUGAUCAGCCACACUGGUACUGGAACACGGACCAGACUCCUACGGGAGGCAGCAGUGGGGAAUAUUGCGCAAUGGGGGAAACCCUGACGCAGCAACGCCGCGUGAGUGAUGAAGGCCUUCGGGUCGUAAAGCUCUGUCAGAGGGGAAGAAGGUGAUGGGAUUAAUACCCCCCAUUUACUUGACGGUACCCUCAAAGGAAGCACCGGCUAACUCCGUGCCAGCAGCCGCGGUAAUACGGAGGGUGCAAGCGUUGUUCGGAAUUACUGGGCGUAAAGGGCGCGUAGGCGGCCGUUUAAGUCAGAUGUGAAAGCCCACGGCUCAACCGUGGAACUGCAUUUGAAACUGGAUGGCUUGAGUAUGGGAGAGGGAAGUGGAAA